GAGUUUGAUCGUGGCUCAGGAUGAACGCUAGCGGCAGGCUUAACACAUGCAAGUCGAGGGGUAGAGGAAGCUUGCUUCCUUGAGACCGGCGCACGGGUGCGUAACGCGUAUGCAAAUCUACCUUGUGCAGGGGGAUAGCCCAGAGAAAUUUGGAUUAAUACCCCAUAGUGUAAUGAAAUGGCAUCAUUUUAUUACUAAAGUUCCAACGGUACAAGAUGAGCAUGCGUCCCAUUAGCUAGUUGGUGUGGUAACGGCAUACCAAGGCAACGAUGGGUAGGGGUCCUGAGAGGGAGAUCCCCCACACUGGUACUGAGACACGGACCAGACUCCUACGGGAGGCAGCAGUGAGGAAUAUUGGUCAAUGGGCGCAAGCCUGAACCAGCCAUGCCGCGUGCAGGAUGACGGUCCUAUGGAUUGUAAACUGCUUUUGUACAGGAAGAAACACUCCCUCGUGAGGGAACUUGAC
rnacentral:rRNA from 1 species